AAAGCUGAAGCUGUGUCAUCCAGACAGAUGAUAGCAAGGCCGGCCAUCUAUCAGUAAUGAGGCCCAUGAACAGGACCGGGAAAAGGCUGCGGACUGUGGCCGUCAGCCGCACGGCGAUACUCGGACUGCCAGUCACGUCGAUUCCCGGCGGCGGCGCAGGGCAACGCACGCGGACCCGCAUUCCCAUGGCUACCUCAGGGACGGUGGCUACUCUCCAAGGCAAUCCGGUGAAUCUCUCCGCCGCCCUUGCUGCCAGGUAACCAAAUUUCAGGGAUAUGCUGCAGGUUCCGUUCAGACAUGAAACUAUGAAAGCAAGGACCCUCCUGAUAGUCAUGUGUGAGUAUCGACGGUAUGGUGGUUCUCAAUCGGCGGCUGAUGUGUAUGCCAUUUCUUUUUUCCUUGCGCGCCACUGCAUAUGAUUGUACGGAUCCAUCGCCCGUGGCUGUACUAAGCGUUCCAUAGAACAUUGACUUGGGAACAGCAUCUCUUCCGCAUUUCUUUCUUUUUUUCAAAAGAAGAACGUUGACUUGACUAUGAGUUUAUGUCGACCAUCCA